rnacentral:lncRNA from 1 species
CGUACGCAAUAGAACCAUGUAAAAUAGAAAGAGAGAAAAACAUUAGUAGACAUAUGUUCAAAAUGAUGACAAUUAUUUGUUACAAUCAUUUUAUUCUGUGAUGCAGGAAACCCUUAACCUUUUGUUUUACAAAAUAGUAAAAUUACCAUUUUUGAGGGCACUGAUUUUUCCAACAAAUAUCUCAUUCCCAACCAUUAUCUACUAAAAUAAAACUACAAUUUGUACUCGAAUCUUUUCAUAUUUUUUU